rnacentral:misc_RNA from 1 species
AUGGACAAAACUUUGAAGGUGGGCAAUAUUGUGAGGAACGUUUACUCCAGGGCAACUAGGAAUUGUCCAUGGAUAGGUGAUCUUUGGGUUCAGUAUUUGCUUGCUUUGGAACGUGCUCGUGCUUCCGAAGGUGAAAUUGCUUCAGUCUUUGAGAAGUCUUUGCAGUGCUCAUUCUCAACCUUGGAUGAGUACUUGGAUUUGUUUCUUACACGAAUUGAU